rnacentral:rRNA from 1 species
AUUGAACGCUGGCGGCAGGCCUAACACAUGCAAGUCGAGCGGAGCUGCGGACGGGUGAGUAAUGCCUAGGAAUCUGCAUGUUAGUGAGGGAUAACGUCCGGAAACGGGCGCUAAUACCGCAUACUAUCAGAUGAGCCUAGGUCGGAUUGGCUGGUUGGUGGGGUAAAGGCUUACCAAGGCGACGAUCCAUAACUGGUCUGAGAGGAUGAUCAGUCACACUGGAACUGAGACACGGCCCAGAAUCCUACGGGAGGCAGCAGUGGGGAAUCUUGGACAAUGGGCGAAAGCCUGACCCAGCAAGGCCGCGGGUGUGAAGAAGGUUUUCGGAUUGUAAAGCACUGUAAUUUGGGAGGCGUUACCAACAGAAUAAGCACCGGCUAACUACGUGCCAGCAGCCGCGGUAAUUC